AGUUUCAGCCUGUGAUGGAAGGAUUACAGGGGAUGGGAAGUUUCACAAAUCUUGUCAAAUUUCAAGUUGAAGUUCACGAUUUGGGAUAUGAUUAUGACACGUGUGAACUUAGCCCAGUCCAAAUUUCCCAUGACUUGCCUAAUCUGAAGGAAUUCAAGAUUGUUAGUUACCGUAUUAAAGGACAGGACGGGAUUGGACCAUUUUAUCGAGAAAUGACGACACUAAUGUUGAAAAUGGCGCGCAACUUGGAACGAUUAAUAAUUUUGGAUAAUUUCUGCCCAGAUUUGUCGAACUGUAAGAAAUUGAAAUAUUUGGAGUGGCUGUGCAACCCGUACAAAUGGACGGACUCGUAUCUUUCUGAAAUAUUGAUCCUCACACCAUACCAACUCUUAAAAAACUGGAAGCCUUAUCCUUGCCAGCUGUUAAUGUUCUUGACCUGGAUUUCGCAAACCUGACCUCGGAAGAACUACCCAAUUUAAAACGUGUCAAACUGACCACCACCAUUCGUACCCCAUUUGUAGAGAGAUCCCUCCCAAACUAUCUCUUUAUGGUUAUGCCGUCAAGGACUAUGGUAAUAGAAGAUUUAGAGAUCGGACAACUCGUCGGAUAUCUCGCAAGAUCGGUUUUUCCAAAUUUGCCUUGAAACACUUGACCAUUCAAGUUUCUGGAGUAUUGGAUGAAUCCACAGAUCUUGAUGGCUGGAAAGGAUUUUUCAGAAAUUUGUACCAAUCCCCGAUAAACAUAUCGCGAUUGACAAUUUAUAUGGGAAUCUGGUCAUCAUUUUCUAAUUUAAUGGGGGCGAUGGAUGUUAUGGAUGACCUAAAUCCAGUGGAGGAUCUCAAGUGUCAGCAUCAUUAAUGGAGCCCCCCAAACUCACAAUUACCAAUAUGACUCACAACGCACCAAGUUCGAAAAUGUGUUUCGAACUUGGCAGCCAAAUUUAUCCUUUGUGGGAUACGAGUUCAAACUUCCCGCGGCUACUCGAAUGAAGAAAUUCAUCAAGGAAAAUAAUUUGGGCGUUAGUUUUGUAGACAAAAUUGAUCACUGAUACAAGUUCUACCGUAGAUAUUGGCUUGUGAAACUGCUCGUCAGGAAGCAAUGACGAUAUUAAAAUA